AACUAAAAUAAAAUUAAAAAAAAAAUUCUUACAAGGGUAGCAAUUAUAUGAAGCAUAGAGUCAAAGCUAUAGAAUUCUUGGGAUGACACUUGAUAGCUUUUGCAAACACGGAGCCGAAAUCAUUAGAAAGAAAACAAUAUGUUUACUUCAAAGGUCAAAGUUCAGACGUGCUUAAAGCCUUAAACCGGGGAAUCCAAACGGGGGGUAUGCUGAAAAGGUGCCAUUUUUAGAUUUUUGUCCAACAAGUUGAAGUAAGACAUUUUGCAUACAUAGCAUUUCUAGUCAAUAUAUGAGCUGUGACAAUUGACAAUUAAGGGAACACAAUAGAAUUUUUAAUAUCGAACUCAUUGUUUCUACACAACCAUUCUCUAUGGGCUGGCUGACGGAGAGAAGAGAACUAUAAUACGAUUAAUUAAGCUGAUAAAUGUACACGUCUUUGCUGAUUUUAUAGUCUUUACUAACAAGUUAGUUGAAGUAGGACUAAGUUUUGGUCUCAUACUCUGAAUAAUACAGGAAGCCAUGA
rnacentral:lncRNA from 1 species